rnacentral:misc_RNA from 1 species
CCUUUUGUGUUCCAGUUGCUGGGAAUUCAAUAUAUAAAGUUACACACAGGAGAAAGUUAGAGAGAAUUUUCUAUAACCACCCCACUAGUAACAAUUCAAAGCCAAAAAAAUAUAAAAAGAGGAAAAGAGCAUAACCCUUUGUUCUACUGUCCUGUACAAUACAAUUUAUCCAAAUUCUCUUCUUUCCUUCCUUUAAAAAUCUAGUCGAAAUUGAACAUUAAAGUGAAAGUAAUAAAGCAAAAGGAGAAGAAAGAACCGCACCAUUGUUUGUGGCAAUAAAAAUGAAUCUUUUAGCUUUUAUCUUUCAAUGGGUUGUAACCUUGG